UUUUUUUCCGAGUUACUACUGUUCGUCCGCCUCUGCUACUGAUUCAAGAAUGAAAAGUCUUUCUUUCUCUUAGCUUCUGGUUCGCGUGGGUAUAAAAGAUUUGGUUUUUCUUCACUGUUCAUCAUCGUCCUCCUUCCUCUAUCCGUGUGUGUUGAUUCAUUUGAGGGAGUGUGGAAGAACAAGACCCUAAAAAGACUUAAAAGAAGAAUAUCUCAGGAAUUUAGAAC